UUAUAACUUACUUCCAAUAUGCAUUGGCUAUUUGGUUGGUGGUUAUAUUAUGAAGAAAUUCAAGAUUACUGUCAGGAAAGCUGCAUAUAUAGCAUUCUUCCUAUUCCUGGCUGAGUACCCUGUAUCACUCUGUAACUUGCUGAUGACCUGUGAUAAUUUCCCAGUUGCUGGCUUAACUACCUUUUAUGAAGGAGUUCAGCAGCCUCUUGAUGUGGAGAAUAUGGUCCUUGCUGACUGCAACACCAGGUGUACCUGCUUAAUGAAAACAUGGGAUCUGGUGUGUGAAGACAAUGGCCUAGCAUACAUGUCCUCCUGCCUUGCAGGCUGUGAGAAGUCUGUCAGAACAGGAAUCAACAUGGUGUAUCAAACCUGAAGAGAAGUCACUUGGAGUUGGAUUCCAUGCAUUUUGCACAAGAAUAUUAGGUAUGACAACUCUUUCUAACAUAUCGGACCAACAUUAAGUGCUUAAAUAAUUUUCCUUGUAUAAGAAGACAGAAACUAUCUUGUCAACCCAAAACACAACUCUCACCUUAAGCUGGCAUACCAGCACCUAUUUACAUUGGUGCUUUGCUAGACAGAACAUGUUUACACUGGGGAACUCUGAAAUGUGGUGAGCCAGGUGCUUGCAGGAUGUAUGAUAUAAAUAGUUUCAGAUGGCCUACUGGACUUAUUGGUUAGCUGCCUCAUGAACACAAUUUGGCUCAUAGAAUGAUUGUGGCACAAACCCACUGAGAGUGUCUCAAGCGAGAGGAGGUUGCGAAACAUAUAAAUACCUGGAGCUAUUACCCUCAAGAACCAGGAGACCAAGGAACCUGCUAUUUGAGAUGUUGGUGCCUCCAGUUUGGGUGAUUUCACGUUGCUGUUUGGGCUAAAAGUAGUUACUUACAUGGUUCCCACCACUGUUCAUGCUAAGCCUGCAUGUGUCGCUAACACCAUAGCGAAAGAACUGUGGUUUCACUGCUGUCCCACCCACAGGCUUCAUGCCAGGAUGACCUUGAACCAGACUCUGGCUGUUAUCUUGCUUGCCCUCUAGGGCAGCAUUUCCAAAGAAUCCUACAGAGAAACUUUGUUCGAUACAGACUGCAUCGUAGUAAAAUCUCUUCUCUGUUCCUAAGAGGACUUCAGCCAAUAAGAAUUUUGCCCUUCUCUAGGUAUAACCCAAUCCUGCUCUGUUUCUGAGUGAGCAUUAUGCUAAAAGAUUCUGGAAGAGAAAACUGUUAGCCAUUGCCUUGUCUGAGUGUGUAUGACUAUGGCUGGUUGAGAUCCCAUCCCCAGCCUGUAGUAUCCAUAAUAACAGAGUGAAAGGACUCACCCACUCUGUCAACAUAUCUCUCUGUGUGUUAAAGCUCCAGUUGUUUGACAUCCCCAGAAUGGUGGACUGUAUCCUGGAAUUGUGGGCAAAUUAAUCCCUUGUCCAUAAAUUGAUUUGUCAAGUUUUUUUAAUAACAAUGGCAGGAAAAUAAAUUACGAUAUUUAUAAAUCUA